UAACUAUCAUCGGUAUCGAUAAUAUCAUCCACCUGUUUUUGUUGGAUUAGCGGCAAAUUUCUUAUGCAAUAGAAAAUUGAUUGUUAAUUAAAUUAUGAUUCCAGUUUCAUCAAUAUAAUUUUCUAAUGGAUUUUGGAUGGCAGGUUAUGCAAGGUUUAAAUUUUUGUUUCAACAUCUGAUCGUUAACCUGAUUGAAAGUCAUCUAUAUACAAUUGAAGCUUUCUUAAAUCCUUAAAUGGCUUCAAUGGUCAGUAAUUGAACCUUAGGUCUAGUUUUACAUCAACAUUUCAUCUUUAUUCAAUCAAGUUUCCAUUAUUUCGUUCAACAUAAUGGAAAACAAGCAAUAAACUGAAAAGAGCAAUAAGUAAAUCGGAUUAAACUGUCAAACAUUUUCAAAAAUCUCUGUUGAAAAUGUGUUGGAGUGUUAAAAUUGCGCUGAUCUGAUUGGAAAUGGAGAUUGUAUUUUGUUUUUACAUCCUGAUAAGCUCAUCUUUAGUGUAGUGAAUUUUUACCAAUAGCAUCUUUAACUGUCCCAUUUGGGUUGAAAGAAACAAUGGUCUUUACCUUUACAACAACUAAUCCAUUUGCUGGUGACAAUCAACCCUUGCCGACAAUCAACUUACAAUUAUUCAACUAUUAGGAAAAAUUUUCUAAUGUUUACUCAAUUUUUUUCUCUCCAACACUCAACGCUUCCGUUUUGAACAACCUAUUCGUUAUGCCUUUGGGCAACUUUCUACUGGCUCCAUGUGUGAGUUUGUGUUAAGCUUGUUUAAUUGGCCUUCGUAUCACAGUUUACCUUUGCAAAGACAUCAACAACUGUAACACCAAAAGAUGGGUUUAGUCGCAAGCUAUUGUUAAUCAAUCUUUGACCCAUUAUUAUCACCACCAAUUCACUCUUAUGGAUGUUUAAAGGAGUAAAGGUUAAAGAAAGCAAAGGUUUCCACUAGAGGAGAAGAGCGAAAAUUAAGCUCACCAUCACUAGAGUUACUUGUGAUUCUCAUGGUAAUAAAACAAGAGGUUCCUGCUGGUUAAAAGUAACCUUAAUUGACCUAAAUUACCAAAAAAUGGGCUACAUUUCAUUGCUAAUAACAAAUCAUUACAACAUUUUGACAAGUGCUAUGAACAAUAUUCCCAUUUCAAUAUUUUUAAAACUGGAAAAUCCUUUUACCUACCACAUAGUGGAAAUUUAUAUGUGAGAUAAAUUGCUCAUAUUAAUUAAAACCUCAACAAGCAGUUACAUUUAAUUACUUUAUCAUCGCUGAACAUCUCAACUGUAGAACAACUCAGGUGGACAUUAAAAAAGGACUAAUUUUUAGAUGAAUUAUCCUAUCGUUGAUGGCUAUUGCACAAAAGUCUUGGGAGUGCCUUUCUCAUUAUCAUCAUUUCCAGCUUAUGUUGAUGAAUCUAUUGGUGGGAAAUCAAGAUGAUGUCUUUUUCCUGAAAUGUUGACUAAACAACCAAGACUUGACUGAAUCCCUAGAUGUUAAAGUUACCACGAAACAUCAACUUGCAAUGAAAAAAAAGAUGAAAAGAAAGGGAGAUGAUGAAGAAGUAUUAGAAGGAAAAGAGACGAUGAUGAUGAUGAUGAAGUUAUAAUGAAGAGUAAUCAUUAACCAAAUUUGGGCCCAAUCUUUGCAGGUCAACAUUUAAAGUUGCUCAUUGAAUUAAAAGCCAAUAUACCGCGUUCAAGAUUGAUGUAUUAUUUGGUUUUCUCUCUCAUUCUCUCACUCCCGUCAUCUACAUCAUCUUCAUCUUUAUUUUUCCUCUACUUUUUACCCUCAACUUGACCUGAGGGUAUAAUAAGGAGACACCAAGUAUCCAUUAGUGACUUUAGUCUAAGCAGAGGCAAUUCUAUGGUAAUCAUUAUCUUCUUUCACCACCAUAAUAGCCUCAGUAUCCAUCGUAUUUAAUUACAAAAUUGAAAGCUGUAAACUCUAUUGAUUGGUAUUGUUUUAAAUUUUUACAUUAUAAUCCAAUCAAUUGGCCAAUUAACCUUUGAAAAUGGUAAACCUUUCAAUUAAUGGUAAACAUGGAAUGCUAAUAAAACAAUAACAAUGAGAAAUGGGAUUCAGAUUAACCCUGUGGCUUGGUACAAAUUGACAAUUUAUUAAGCAAUAAAAAAGGACAACCUGAGAUGACAUUUGAUUCUGUGAGCCUGUUAUCAUUAAUGGUGAAGAAAAAUGAAUGAAUAAUAAGCGGAUGCUUUAAAAAAUGGUGAUAGUCAGGAUAAAAAAAACUUGUUGUGGUUUCCUGUUAAAAAGGUCUUGGUCAAUAUAUUAAUAGUGAGCUUCACCAUCAUUCAUCUUCAACUUGAAUAGGACAAAAUUUUAUUUUCCCAUUUUGCUGUUGAUUUUUUGGCAAAUAAUUUUCUUAUCGUUAUCAUUAGUUAGAUAUAUUUUAUUUGCAUAAUGAUAAGUUGAUCAAUCAAUUUAAUCAAAAUGUUAAAUCAUUUCUUAAAUAUUUUAUUACUUAACGAUUUAGAUAAUGAUUGGGAGAAUGUUAAUGACAGUUUUCAAAAUGGUUUGUCAAAUAGAUGAUUUUACCAUUUUAUUAUUAUCAUAAAGGCUAUCAUCGCCAUCACCAACAUCAUCAAGCUAUUAUCCAUUAUUAAUACCAUCAUCAUCAUCCUCAAAUAAUAUUUACAUCACUCUGUGACCAAGAUGAUUAUAAAGUGCAGUUUCAUUAACAGGAAUCAACACCAAACCCCUCUCAAGACACUCAGCAUCAAGACUUCAUCCAAAGACUAUUUGCCUUUACCAUUAACAACAACCAGAGGAAUGGAAAUGAACCCAAAGAGUUUUCAUUUGUUUCCUUGAUCAUUGCAUGGUAAUUUGUCACCAUUGAUAAACUGUGAUUAAGAUAAUGGUCUUUGAUGGAAAUAAACUGUUAAUGAAACUAUUAAGUUUGACCAUUAACUGGAAACAAUAAAGCCAAGAAACCUGACAGUGAAGGCUUUUUUACACAAAGGAUGGAAACGCUUUGAUUUCUUUGGACUUAAAAAAGCAUCAAAAGGACUAAUCUUUUUGAAAGAUUAAGGUCAUCAAGGAAUCAGCCAAGAUAAACGGUUCAACUGAUUAUUCAGAUUCUAAUUUAGAUUCACUGUUAAAUGGUGUUAUUAAGAAGAAGAUAACAAAGCCAUUCUUGUUUCUUUCAACAAAACCCAUCUCCACCUUUAACCACCCAUUUGAGGGGAGGGUUACACACAUUAAUAUCUGUAUCCAUUACAUUGGCUAACGUUUUGCAGCUGAGGCACAAUUAAUCAUCAAUUUCAUCAACAGUUUUCAAUUUAAUUAUUUUGUUAUAAUUUUAUACACACAUAAAUACUGAAUCAACUUCAA